ACUAACAAGGAUUCCCUUAGUAGCGGCGAGCGAAUAGGGAUAAGCCCAGCACUCAAUUCCGUAGUCGGCUAACGAUUUCACGGAAGAUUUAGUGUUUAGGAGAUUCCGCCAUCCAGUGGUUGUUUAAGCGAGUCAAAGUCCUUCUUGAACGGGGCCAUUUACCCAUAGAGGGUGCCAGGCCCGUAUUGACCGUAAACAAUUGCUGGAGGAAUUCUCCUUAGAGUCGGGUUGCUUGAAAGUGCAGCCCAAAGUAGGUGGUAAACUCCAUCUAAGGCUAAAUAUGACCACGAGUCCGAUAGCGAACAAGUACCGUGAGGGAAAGUUGAAAAGAACUUUGAAGAGAGAGUUCAACAGUACGUGAAACCGUUCGGGGGUAAACCUGAGAAACCCGAAAGAUCGAAAGGAAAGAUUCAGCGCGUCUCACAAUAAGCAAGUAUUUUGACUAUUGCUACUUGACAUUCGAUAUUUUUCUGUACGCAAUAUGUUUCGGCAUGUUGUUGCAGUUUGAAUAKUCGUUUGCAUCUAUAGUUACUGUCUUUUUGUGAACGUGUGCACUUCUUUCCUAGUAGGACGUUGCGACCCGUUGGCUGUUACGUACACACAUUACGUGUGUGUACACGUCAAUCUGCAACUCAUAGUAGAGUUCGUUCUAGUGGUGUGUCUUAAUUUUUUCGGAAAUUUUGUCAUUAUCAUUAUUGUGAAUCUAUGAUGUUCCGAUUGACGGUCGACGGUAUUAUAUUAGUAAAAUAGAGCAUGGAGCGCAUACACAUUUUGCGUACAAGCCUAUUACGAGUAGCAAUUUGCACUUUGCUUUUGCGGAAACUAUAUAUAGUUCGGUGCAAAGUUGCAUUGCGCUGUCUGUAAUAGUGUCUCUCUUGUACAGUACUCCGAAUUUGAAUAAAUAUGCUUGUCUGCAACGCCAUAGUUUUGGGUAAUUUCAGGGCCCGUCUUGAAACACGGACCAAGGAGUCUAGCAUGUGCGCGAGUUAUUUGGAUUUCGCACGAAACCAAAAGGCGUAAUGAAAGUGAACGUACAUUGUACAUUACGCGUGCGUGUCGUGCGUUAGUGUGUGCGUUUGCGCGUGCAUAUUAGCCAUGCGCGUAUGUGUGUGUGCGUGUGCAAUUUUGAGACACGUUUUGAAAUUGAGCGAGGGAAGAUGGGCGAUGAUGUAUAUGAUAACAUCGCUUCGCACUCCCGGGGCGUUUCGUUCUCAUUGCGAGAUGAAGCGCACCUAGAGCGUACAUGCUAAGACCCGAAAGAUAAUGAACUAUGCCUGGUCAGGAUGAAGUCAGGGGAAACCCUGAUGGAGGUCCGUAGCGAUUCUGACGUGCAAAUCGAUCGUAUGAAUUGGGUAUAGGGGCGAAAGACCGAUCGAAUUAUCUAGUAGCUGGUUCCCUCCGAAGUUUCCCUCAGGAUAGCUGGCGCUCGUUAGCAACGAGUCUCAUCCGGUAAAGCGAAUGAUUAGAGGCAUUGGGGUUGAAACGGCCUCAACCUAUUCUCAAACUUUAAAUGGGUGAGAUCUCAGGCUUUCUUGAAAUAAAUAGACUGCAAAAAUUCGUUUUUGUCAGAAAUGAAGCCGUGAGUGUACGGAUCAGAG
rnacentral:rRNA from 1 species